UACGUAGGGGGCAAGCGUUGUCCGGAUUUAUUGGGCGUAAAGAGCUCGUAGGCGGUUUGUCGCGUCUGCUGUGAAAACUCAGGGCUUAACCCUGAGCUUGCAGUGGGUACGGGCAGACUAGAGUGCGGUAGGGGAGACUGGAAUUCCUGGUGUAGCGGUGAAAUGCGCAGAUAUCAGGAGGAACACCGGUGGCGAAGGCGGGUCUCUGGGCCGUAACUGACGCUGAGGAGCGAAAGCAUGGGGAGCGAACAGG
rnacentral:rRNA from 1 species